rnacentral:lncRNA from 1 species
UGCGCAGGCGGCCCCUCGUGCACUAGCUCCCAACCACGCUCUGGCUCCGCCGCCACCGCCUCGCGACGACGGUCACCACCAAGACGACUACCCUCAUCAAGACGGAGUGUUCGUCGUCUUCACCAGCGAAGGCGACGACAAGCACAGCCUGCGCCAGAGGCGGCGCGAGGUAAACGCCACAGUCCCCCCGGUUCCCUAGUACAUGCA